CCUACGGGAGGCAGCGGUGGGGAAUUUUGGACAAUGGGCGCAAGCCUGAUCCAGCAAUGCCGCGUGCAGGAUGAAGGCCUUCGGGUUGUAAACUGCUUUUGUACGGAACGAAAAAGUCUGCCCUAAUACGGUGGGCCCAUGACGGUACCGUAAGAAUAAGCACCGGCUAACUACGUGCCAGCAGCCGCGGUAAUACGUAGGGUGCGAGCGUUAAUCGGAAUUACUGGGCGUAAAGCGUGCGCAGGCGGUUAUAUAAGACAGAUGUGAAAUCCCCGGGCUCAACCUGGGACCUGCAUUUGUGACUGUAUAGCUAGAGUACGGUAGAGGGGGAUGGAAUUCCGCGUGUAGCAGUGAAAUGCGUAGAUAUGCGGAGGAACACCGAUGGCGAAGGCAAUCCCCUGGACCUGUACUGACGCUCAUGCACGAAAGCGUGGGGAGCAAACAGGAUUAGAUACCCUGGUAGUCCACGCCCUAAACGAUGUCACUGGUUGUUGGUCUUCACUGCUCAGUAACGAGCUACGCGUGAGUGACCGCGNGGGGAGUACGGCCGCGUAAGGUUGAACGUUGAAGUUGAGUUGACGGNGNGNGACGNGCGACGGACGACGACGAGGGAGGAGG
rnacentral:rRNA from 1 species